rnacentral:rRNA from 1 species
CGAGGGUGCAAGCGUUAAUCGGAAUUACUGGGCGUAAAGCGAGUGUAGGCGGCUACGUAAGUCGGAUGUGAAAGCCCUGGGCUCAACCUGGGAAUUGCAUUCGAUACUGCGUAGCUAGAGUUUGAUAGAGGUAAGUGGAAUUCCGGGUGUAGCGGUGAAAUGCGUAGAUAUCCGGAGGAACAUCAGUGGCGAAGGCGGCUUACUGGAUCAAAACUGACGCUGAGGCUCGAAAGCGUGGGGAGCAAACAGGAUUAGAUACCCGAGUAGUCC